GGGUUUGAUCCUGGCUCAGAUUGAACGCUGGCGGGAUGCUUUACACAUGCAAGUCGAACGGCAGCACGGACUUCGGUCUGGUGGCGAGUGUGGCGAACGGGUGAGUAAUGUAUCGAAACGUGCCUAGUAGCGGGGGAUAACUACGCGAAAGCGUAGCUAAUACCGCAUACGCCCUUCGGGGGAAAGUGGGACCUUUCGGGCCGACUAUUAGAUACCGGAUAUCGGAUUAGCUAGUUGGUGGGGUAUGGCUCACCGAGGCGACGAUCCGUAGCUGGUUUGAGAGGACGACCAGCCAGCACUGGGACUGGAGACACGGCCCAGACUCCUACGGGAGGCAGCAGUGGGGAAUUUUGGACAAUGGGGGAACUCCGAUCCAGCCAUCCCGCGUGUGCGAUGAAGGCUCGGGUUGUAAAGCACUUUUGGUAGGAAGAAACUACACGGGAUAAUACCCCUAACUGACGGUACCUGCAGAAUAAGCACCGGCUAACUACGCCAGCAGCCGCGGUAAUACGUAGGGUGGGCGUUAAUCGGAAUUACCGGGCGUAAAAGUGCGCAGGCGGUUCGGAAAAAAGAAAGAUGUGAAACCCCAGCUUAACUUUGGAACUGCAUUUUUAACUACCGAGCUAGAGUGUGUCAGAGGGAGGUGGAAUUCCGCGUGUAUGAAUGUGCAGAUAUGCGGAGGAACACCGAUGGCGGAAGGCAGCCUUCCUGAUAACACUGACGCUCAUGCACGAGCGUGGGGAGUAAACAGGAUUAGAUACCCCAGUAGUCCACGCCCUAAACGAUGUCAACUAGCUGUUGGGGCUCGCCUGGUAGCGCAGCUAACGUUAGCUGACCGGGAGUACGGUCGCAAGAUUAAAACCCGAAGGAAUUGACGGGGACUCGCACAAGCGGCGGAUGAUGUGGAUUAAUUCGAUGCAACGCGAAAACCUUAAUGCACCCUGACAUGUCUGAAUCCCGAAGAGAUUUGGGAGUGCUCGCAAGAGAACCGGAACACAGGUGCUGCAUGGCUGUCGUCAGCUCGUGUCGUGAGAGAUGCUGGGAAGUUAAGUCCCGCAACGAGCGGCAACCUCUGUCAUUAGUUGGCGAAAGGGCACUCAUCGAGACUGCCGCGGAUAAAACCGGAGGAAGGUGGGACGACGUCAAGUCCUCAUGGCCCUUGCGGCAGGGCUUCACACGUCAUACAACGGUCGGGACAGGUCACAACCGCGAGGGGAGCCAAUCCCAGAAACCCGAUCGUAGUCCGGAUCGCAGUCUGCAACUCGACUGCGUGAAGUCGGAAUCGCUGCGGUAAUCGCGGAUCAGCAUGUCGCGUGAAUACGUUCCCGGUCUUGUACACACCGCCCGUCACAUUCAGCGGGAGUGGGUUUUACCAGAAGCAGUUAGCCUAACCGUAAGGAGGGCGAUUGCCUUCACGCAGUAGGAUUCAUGACUGGGGUGAAGUCGUAACAAGGUAG
rnacentral:rRNA from 1 species